GGUACUGCCAGCUAUUACGUUUCUCUAAACAAUAGCUAAAACAUUUUCCUUUGGAUUUCCUUCCUCAUCUUUCUCUUCAAACAACAUAUCUUAGCCCAUAUUCAACUUAGAAAAUUAAAAUAUCUAUUAGUGGCUUUGCAGGAGUAACUUUUCCUCUGUGUAAGUUUUAAGACUUUUCAAAUUAGUAUAAACUGUGCUUUUUAUAAAUGUACUGCUUGUUAUCCAAUUCCAGAUCACAAAUACAGGUGUAAAAUCAUACAAUUUGCAAUGCAUGCUACUUCUACCAAAUAACUCUUCAUCCUUCAAAAUAUUUUCAUGUAUUAUUACUUUCUAUUUUCAAUCUGUUGGGCAGAGAACUGCACCCACUUCAACUCUGAAUCAAUUCUCUGAGCAAAUGUCAAAAUUUAUCCCAUCACAGACUUUAUUUAAAUGUGUUCUUGUAGUCAACUAAUUCUGUUACUGCAUUUGGAGGGAAAAAUCUAUUGAAUUUGCCUUGUGGGAUUUAUUUUUCAUAAGCCACACUUCGUUAUUGCUUUUAAUUCCAAUAUCUUCUGAAGUGCUACAGAUUUUUCUUUCAUAAAGAGCAUUUGUUAAUAUACUAAGGAUUGAUGUUACUGAGGAGUAAUUUCUAGGCUUCCUGUUCUAAUGCUCUUUGAAAUGGAUUAUGGUAUUUGGCCUCACAUAUUACCCCAGUUCACUAUAACCUCAGGAAAAACGAGUGGUAUUUCCAAGUUAACCAACUACCAUGCUCUCUAGAAUGUAUAGUACAGGUAACUUGAUAUUUUAGGACCCUGAUUCUUUUUGUUUAUGCUUUUUAAUAAUUUUUAUUUUUUCCAUCAUAGUUGGUUUACAGUGUUCUGCCAGUUUUAUGCUGUAUAGCAAGGUGACCCAGUCACACAUACAUAUAUACAUUCUUUUUCUCACAUUAUCAUGCUCUAUCAUAAGUGACUAGAUAACAGUUCCCAGUGCUAUAAGAGCAGGAUCUCAUUGCUUAUCCAUUUCAAAGGCAAUAGUUUGCACCUAUUAACCCCAAAUUCCCAGUCCAACCCACUCUCUCCCCUUCCCCUUUGGCAAGCACAAGUCUGUUCUCUGAGUCCAGGACACCCUGCUUUUUUUUAAAACCAAAUCAUGUAUUAUGCAUUCUGAUUAUGAAAGUAAUAUGUUUAUAAUAUGUAAGAUCAAAUAAGAAAAAUUAAAACACAAAUCACCUCUUACCCAGAGAUAAUCACAAUUAAUAUUUUAGUUAUAUUUUCAAUUACAUGUAUGUUUAUGUAUUUUUAAAAAUGAUAAUGGAUCAUACUAUUCACAUAUUUUGUCCAUUUUUGAAUGACAUAUACUUAUACAUAUACAAGUCAUACUUAUUUCAGGUAAUUUAUAGUUUCUAAUUUUUAUAAAUUUUUAUAAUAAAUGCUAAAAUCAGCCCAUAUAAAAAGAGUGAUAACUUACUUUUAUUGAGUAUCUAUUAUUUGUUAGACAUUUUACAUACAAAUUUCUUUCUGUACACUCUUUAAGUUGCAAAGUAGGAAUUAUUACCUUCUCAUUAUAGAUGAAAAAAGAACUGGAUUACCUUUUUAAAGUUAAUCAAUGCCAAAUAUCUAGAAAGUGAAGUAAUUAGGAUUCAAAACUAGACAGGCUUAUGUGGAUUUCUGCUUUUAUCAUUUAUGUUACAUGUCCCUAGAGUAAAUCACUGAAAGUAAAUUAACUAUUUCAUGGAGAAAACCCAUCCUAAAUCAUUUACUGUAUCAUCCCACCCAAAGAGACUAUAUUCUUAUCUAUAUUCUAAAGACUUAUUUAGGAGUUGUUGUUGUGGCUCAGCAGUAUCCAUGAAGAUGCAGAUUUGAUGAUCCCUCACCUUGCUCAGUGGGUUAAGGAUUCAGUCAUUGCCUUGAACUGUGGUGUAGGUUGCAGACUGGGCUCAGAUCUGGCUGUGGCUGUGGCUGUGGCUGUGGCGAAGACCAGCAGCUGCAGCUCUGAUUUGACUCCUAGCCUAGGAACUUCCAUAUGUUGCAGAUGCAGCCCUGAAAAGCAAAAGACUUUUUUAAAAAUCCCCAUUAUGUAUAUAUACCACAUCUUCCUAAUCCAAUCCUCUGUCGAUGGACAUUUGGGUUGUUUCCAUGUCCUGGCUAUUGCGAAUAGUGUUGCAAUGAACAUGCGGAUGCAUGUGUCUCUUUUAAGUAGAGUUUUGUCCGGAUAGAUGCCCAAGAGUGGGAUUGUGGGGUCAUAUGGAAGUUCUAUGUAUAGAUUUAUAAGGUAUCUCCAAACUGUUCUCCAUAGUGGCUGUACCAGUUUACAUUCUCACCAACAGUGCCGGAGAGAGAGGUAGGGAGUGGGAGGGAUGGGGAGCUUGGGCUUAUCAG
rnacentral:lncRNA from 1 species